GAAGGGGAGGGAGCCAUCUGACUCCACACAAGUGCAUAGCCCACUGACUCAGGCUAAGGCUACAUUCUCUUCAGUGUCGUGAUGGCUCUUCCUCUUGUGCUCUUGGAGGGCAAGACACUGUUUCUCAUGCAUUUCUGGAUCCCUGGUGCUUAGCUCAGAAUUUGGCACGUGUGCUCAGCCCACACCAUGUUGAAUAAAAGUAUUUCAAACUGGUGUGUA